rnacentral:rRNA from 1 species
AGUGAACGCUGGCGGUAGGCCUAACACAUGCAAGUCGAACGGCAGCACAGUAAGAGCUUGCUCUUACGGGUGGCGAGUGGCGGACGGGUGAGGAAUACAUCGGAAUCUACUUUUUCGUGGGGGAUAACGUAGGGAAACUUACGCUAAUACCGCAUACGACCUACGGGUGAAAGCAGGGGAUCUUCGGACCUUGCGCGAUUGAAUGAGCCGAUGUCGGAUUAGCUAGUUGGCGGGGUAAAGGCCCACCAAGGCGACGAUCCGUAGCUGGUCUGAGAGGAUGAUCAGCCACACUGGAACUGAGACACGGUCCACACUCCUACGGGAGGCAGCAGUGGGGAAUAUUGGACGAUGGGCGCAAGCCUGAUCCAGCCAUACCGCGUGGGUGAAGAAGGCCUUCGGGUUGUAAAGCCCUUUUGUUGGGAAAGAAAAGCAGCAGGUUAAUACCCCGCUGUUCUGACGGUACCCAAAGAAUAAGCACCGGCUAACUUCGUG